GAUAUACUCUCUCCGUUUGAAAUUACUUGUCGCAGAAAUGGAUGCAUUUAAACGUAUUUUAGUUUUAGAUACAUCCAUUUUCAAGACAAAUAAUUUCGAAUGAAGGGAGUAGUUG
rnacentral:pre_miRNA from 1 species